rnacentral:rRNA from 1 species
UACGUAGGGGGCAAGCGUUGUCCGGAUUUAUUGGGCGUAAAGAGCUUGUAGGCGGCUCGUCGCGUCGGGUGUGAAAACUUGCGGCUUAACCGCAAGCCUGCACCCGAUACGGGCGGGCUAGAGUUCGGCAGGGGAGACUGGAAUUCCUGGUGUAGCGGUGAAAUGCGCAGAUAUCAGGAGGAACACCGGUGGCGAAGGCGGGUCUCUGGGCCGAUACUGACGCUGAGGAGCGAAAGCGUGGGGAGCGAACAGG